rnacentral:tmRNA from 1 species
GGGGCUGCACAGCUUCGACAAAUUUAUACCUUGAAAAAUAAGCAAGUUGACCGCGUAAGACGUCAUAAAACUACUUACAAACAUACAUAAGUGCAAACUUUGUAUCAAAAGCAAAGACAGUAAUUGCUAACGCUUUUACACCGUCUUUCGCUUCCGCUUUAGCUUAAAUAAAGCUUAGCCAUCAAACUACUGAUUCCUAAUAAGUAGAACUUGGUGCCAAAUAUUAGGAUCGCUGUCUCCAUCCUCUUUAAGUGGAAACAGUUAAAAAACAUUGAAGAUCGGCUAUUAAUAUUCUGCUUGUCCUUAACUUAAUAACCUAAAAAAAUAGACAAGAUAAACUUGUAGAAAAUUUUUAAGCAUAUUUUUGGACAUGGGUGCAAUUCCCAUCAGCUCCACCG